rnacentral:snRNA from 1 species
AACCUCACUGAGCAGGAGAAGAGACCAUACCAACAAAGGUAGAUUUUCCCCAAGGAGUGGCUUGUCCGUUGCAUUCUAAAUAUGGUGGCUUCUGCUCUUUCUCUAAUGUGGGAACCGCCACUGCAUAGUUUGUAGUUGUGCGGAGUUGUGUUUGCUCCCACCACC